AUGUGACUGGCCAAGUCCCAGUCACGUGACUAUGAAGUUUCUUCUCCAGACCUCUGAUGGACACUUCUACAUAGGCAUAUACUGUAGUACUGAAGUCUAUCCAUUCUGUUUAUUACUCUGGUUGACCAACUGUGAAUCUACCUUACCCACUGGUGCCAAAAUUGUACACUUCACUUUAGGUAGAAUGAACUCUGCCCAUUACAACUGGAACCAGCAGCACCAGCGGUAGCACCACACCAAGUGACCAUCUUAUUUGCGUGGGUCCUUUAUCCAAAGGAUGCCUGAUGAAGCUGCGCAUGCGCAGCGAAACACGUUGCAUUCUGGACAAUAAAAUCCUUUUA